ensembl:lncRNA
CACACACACACACACACACACACACACACACACACACACACACACACACACACACACACACACUAAACCUUUUCAUGCUACACAACACAUUGUAACUCUUUUGUUGAAUGGUUAUGGAGUCAUGUCAACACCAUCAGGCCUGCAGAAAAGUAGAUGUUAUGACCCAGCCUUUAGAAUCAGUUGGACAUUCCCUGGCGAAUAGGAUCAAACACAUUCCACUAUUGUAUGCCGUUUGGACUGAUAACAAUGAGUUAAACAAGGAGGGAAACGAAGGAAGCAGGACCAGAGAGGAGCGAGAAGAGACGCGGUUGUUUGAGGAGUCAAGUGAGAGAGAGGCCCAUCUGGGGGCCAAUAGAAGACUGAAGGGCCCUUUGAGAGUCUGAGCGUGUUGCGGGUACUGGACUGGAUGCCUGGACUCUCCUCAUGGAUAACCGGCCAGAACCCCAUCACCAUUUUAAUAUGAUGUGCAUGUAUUUACCUGUAUGUCAAUUGUGGCACCCAUUGCACUCCUGACCAUCCCUGGAAGAAGGGAUCCCCUACACUGCGUUUCUUCUCAAGAUUUCUUCCUUGCUGAUUCAAGGGAGUUUUUUUCUUGCCCGUGUGGGGGCAUGGGUAAAGGGGGGGUGUCACAAAUAUUUGGCCUGUUAAGCCCUUUGAGAC